CAACCAGGGCUCAUUUGAAGCUGUCUGAGCUGAGGCCAGGGCUCAGACCAGCUCAGCCAGCAGUAGCCCCACUCAUGAAUGGAUAGGGAUGGACAAGGCAAGGCUGCCCUCUAUCACCUCUCUUAUUUGUGCUGGCAGUUGAGGCACUGGCUGAAGUGAUUAGACAACACUCGGAUAUCCAAGAGAAUCUGCAACAACUCUGUCACAAAGCUCUCAUAAUCUUUCUGUUAGCAGCUGUGAAAAUGGAGAUUGCGCACCACUGGAAUGAUAGUUCUGUUUUUACAUUAGAAGGUUGGUGGAGCAAAGUUUGAACUAUUAUGUUACAAGAAAAAGCUGAUUCAAUGUAGUUGAUUAAAUAGGAGGAUGAUAAAAUCUGUUAAGCUUGAAUCUGCAUGAUGGCCUUUUUUAACUUACCUUACCUCUCUGGAGUGUACCACUCACUCUCCAGACAGUCACUUACCUUUCUGGUCAGAUCAUCUCUCACGUUAUUAAAGGUUAUUUAAUGUAUAAAUCUGUGUACUCUCCAUAUACAAGCAUACUGUCUCCCACUUGAGAAAGUAUUAUAUGCAUUUAUUGAGACAUGUUUUUUGGUUACGCAUAGAUUGUUACUU